AAACGGCCAGUCAAGGAAGUCUCAGUGCAUCAAGGACAAGGACCAAAGCGCCAAAGAUCAGCAACCACACUGCCUCAGCAGCUUGAUGGAGAUGCCUGCAGGGAGGCCAUUUCAUUUCUUGUUCACUCUCCUGAUUAAGCAAGUGUAUUUCAGUGUAUUUUUGUGUAUGUUUGUGCAUGUCCCACAAAGAAGCACAGAUGUCUUCAAAACAUUUCCACGCCUUUUGGAUGUCAAAGGACUGGUGAGUUGUAUAUUUCUUUUAUUUAAACCGAAGUCUUUAAUAUCCCGUGUUUUGAUGGAUGUUAGCCAUGAAAACACCUAAUCAUUCAUCUUCCUGGCUUAUUGACUGUAUUCUUUUUUCCAAAAUCUUUAUUCUGACUUACACUGGUUUAAUAUACCACACACUGAUAUCAAAAAUCACUAAGCACACCAUUAACAACAACUGACUCAGACAACUGAGCUAUGCCGACUUCUAAAAGCUGCUGAGAAACUUGCAGAGAACGAUGAAACGGACUGGGACAGUGACAUCGCUUCUAUGCUGCUUCUUCUCUAUCUCUUGCCACCCACAGCUGGACGGAAGAGGACCAAAAUAAGUCCAAGUGAUGCAGUGGACAAACUGGUGCACUUUCAUAAGUCAUGCUGCAGCAUCAAUGAAUAUCUGCUGGAAAGAGAGAGUAAACAACCAUACAUCCUUGCCAUUGGCCGAACACAGAAGGCGAUUGAUACCUUCUACAUCGCCGUUGACAAACAGCUCAUCCUCUGUCAAGCCACCAGCUUGUUGGGUGCUUUUGAUGAACUAUUUAAAUCCCACUACGUGUUCAACUAGUCUUAUGAUGAGUCCCUGGUCCAUUUCUACACUUUUCUGCAGACAACGGUCUACAACAUUGAUGUCACCAAAACAGAUGAGUCUAAGAGUACGUGAGUUGUGGGCAAAACAUUUGAAUGACACAUGAAUAUGUUUAAAUGUUUCAUAUGUCAAGCAGUGCAUGCUACCAGCCAGGGCCUAAUAACCCAUUUGCGAAUCUGCCACAGUUUCUA